CUCCGGGUUCCAUCGCCAUGGUUUAGUCGAUCUCCACCUAUGCGCUCUUACUGCCUGUUUUUAGUUGUUUUGCUAGCUUGUUGAACAGGGUUCGAGUUGUCCUGCAGAUAAACUCCUUUCCAUCACGAAGCGUGCGGUGGGGCGGGGGGGGCGAAAGGUGGGGAGAGUUGGGGCAAAGAUAAAGACUUUUCGAUGCCAGACUCCAGCAUAAACCCGGCGGUUAAAAACAGUUUACGCGCUAUUGAGUUGUAAAUGUUGGACACUUACUCCAGCCGCGUAUGUUUGGAAGUGUUUCCCGGACCUCGGACUGAUCAAGUCACUGAGUACAGAGCGACCUAAAGAGCAACGUGCACGCUGACCCGGCUCGGCCCUCUGCCAACUUGGGCUCUUUCCCCCUGAGCUGCGCUGGGCGUGGCCAGCGGUUACUGUGUCCCCACCACAGAUACUAGAGGAGCAGUCCCGGCCACGGAGUGGAGCAGUCUUGUUUUUAGUUGUUCUCCGCGUUCAGAAGAUGGGUUUCUCGAUCGUGCUCCGGACCUUCGCCCUGCGGCGCCGCCCCGGUCCCCGUGGCUGGCCGGCACUCGCCUCGGCUCUCUGCGGCAGCCGGUCAAACAGGGCAAAUGUAAUGGGCUAAUUCACGUGCAGACCUGCCGUCUUUCGGAUGUGAGAGGUGGAGGAAAUCGGAGUGCCUGGAAGAAACCUGUGGGGUCUCAGGGAGAACAUGCAAACUCUACACAGAGAGCACCUGAGGUCAGGAUCAAACCCAAGUCUCUGGUGCUAUGAGGCUUCAGCUCUACCAGUUGACCACUGUACUGUCUGAUAAAUAAAUAAAUAAACAAACAAA